rnacentral:rRNA from 1 species
AACCAGCUAUUUGGUGGAUGUAAUCGUUUAACGACGUGCAUGUUCACAAUUUUGUGAUAUGUAUCAACUCCGUUGAAUAAAAUUCUGGGUAGAUGAUUGAUGAUGACAAAUAUCUAUUCACAUAUCUUGACCAAUGCUUGUGCCAGCAGUCGCGGCAACACAAGUAAGAUUAGUGUUAUUCAUCUUUAUUAGGUUUAAAGGGUACCUAGACGGCAAAAGCAACUUCUAAAAAGUAUAUCUUUGCUAGAGUUUUAUGUGAGAGGUAAAUAUUAGGACUAUUGGUGUAGGGAUGAAAUCCCUUGAUACUAAUAGAAUGUGUAACGGCGAAGACAACCCUCUAUGUAUAAACUGACGUUGAGGGACGAAGGCUUGGGGAGCAAACAGGAUUAGAUACCCUAGUAGUCCAGGCAGAAAAUCAUGAAUGUUAUAGGUUAGAUUAUAAAUUGGCGUAUAAAUGAAAGUGUAAGCAUUCCACCUCAAGAGUAAUGCGGCAACGCAGGAACUGAAAUCAUUAGACCGUUUCUGAAACCAGUAGUGAAGUAUGUUUUUUAAUUCGAUGACCCUCGAAAAACCUUACCACAAUUUGAAUGGUAUUUAAAUAGCUAUUACUUUUUAUAUUAAUAGUUACUUGGAUAUAACAAGCGUUGCACGGCUGUCUAAAGCUAAUGUCGUGAGAUUUUGGUUAGAUCCAUUAAAUUAGCGUAAUCCCUUGCUUUAUUUACCAACGAUGAGGAUAGUGCUUGGUUGCGUCAGCAACUGGGAUAAUAGGAAGAAGACAAGUCAUGC